rnacentral:tRNA from 1 species
UCCGUGGUAGCUCAAUGGUGGAGCACUCGGCUGUUAACCGAUAGGUUGGAGGUUCAAGUCCUCUCCACGGAGCCA